UUCUGUUCACUUUAAAUGUAAUUAUCCAAAGUAUGGUUCCGGAGACAUUGGGAGAUUGAGCACUCCUUCAGAACGAUUCUACGGGGAAAAAAAACAAAAAACAAAAAACAAAAAAACAGUGGCCAGAGACUUGAGCAGGAUGUGUGAAGGGAUUUAAUAAUGGAACUUGUGGCAACAGUAGACUUCAGAGACCAGACUGGCGGCUUGAAGAAAGCUAUUUUCUCGUACCAAAUACAUUCCAUUUCCUAAAUCAGUGCUCCCUGUCAGAUUGUCAAGAGAUGUGAAGUGAAGGAAGCAGUGGCUGUGCGACUGAAACCCUCCCUUGUCAGGGUCCAAAGUCUCUUUUGUUCUUUGGUUUACUUUGUUGUUUUUUUUUCCUACAUCUCAUUGCUUGUCCUAAAAUGAUAAAUAAGAGACUGUCUUUAUCCAAAUGGUGUUAGUAAUCUGCUCACAGGCUAGAAAUCCACGGACAGAAAAAGUAAGUAAACGGAGCCCAGGAAUAGAGAAGGAAGUGCAGGUUGUGGACUGGGCAACCCCCAAGGCGGCAAAGAGGAAACCAGAGACAGGGUCUCGGUCUGUUACCCAAGCUGAAGAGCAAUGGGAUGAUCAUGGCUCACUGCAGCCUCAGAUUCCUGGGCUCAAGUGAUCCUCCCAUCUCAGCCUCCCAAGUAGCUGGACCUACAGACAUCCACCAUCAUGCCUGGGUAAUUUUUCAAUUAUUUUGUGGAAAUGAGGUUUCAUUAUGUUGCCCAGGCAGGUCUCAGAUUCCUGGCCUCACACUAUCCUCCUGCCUUAGCCUCCCAAAGCGCUGGGAUUAUAGGAAUGAGCCACCACACCUGGCCCUUAUCAUUUAUUUGGGUUGCAAACAUUCAAAAUCCUCUCUUCCAGCUAUUCUAAAAUAUAUGACAAACUGUUGCUAAUUAUAGUUACCUUGCCUGGUGCGGUGGCUCUUGCCUGUCAUCCUAGCACUUUGGGAGACUGAGGAGGGAGAAUAUGCUAGAGCCCAGGAGUUUGAGACCAGCCUGGGCAAAAUACUGAGACUUGGAGUGCAACGGUGCAACCACAGCUCACUGCAGCCUAGGCUCAAGUGAUCCUCCCACCUUAGCUUUCCAACUAGCUAGGACUCCAGGUGCGUGCCCACCUAAUUUAUUUGCCCAUUUUUAGUUGUAAUUUUUUUUCUCUUGAGUAUUUUGGGUCCUUGUAUAUUCUGGAUAUUAGUCCCUUUUUUUUUUUCUUUUUUUUUUUUAAGAUGGAGUUUCACUCUUAUUGCCCAGGCUGGAGUGCAGUGAUGCAACCUCAGCUCACCACAACCUCCAUCUCCUGGGUUCAAGCUAUUCUCCUGCCUCAACUUCCCGAGUAGCUGUGAUUACAAGCGCCUGUCACCACACCCGGCUAAUUUUGUAUUUUUAAUAGAGACAGAAUUUCUCCAAGUUGGUCAGGCUGGUCUCGAACUCCUGACCUUAGAUGAUCUACCCGCCUUGGCCUCCCAAAGUGCUGGGAUUACAGGCGUGAGCCACCAUGCCUGGCCUAUUUAGUUCCUUUUUUGGAUAAAUUUUGGUUUGUUUCCUGUGCUUUUGAGAUCCUAUCCAUAAAAUCUUUGCCCAAACCAAUGUCCUGAAGCAAUUCUCUUAUGUUUUCUUCUAGUAGUUUUAUAGCUUCGGGUCUUACAUUUAAGCCUUUAAUCUAUUGAGAGUCGAUUUUCAUAUAGGGUGAGAGAUGGGGUUCUAGUGUCAUUCUGCUGCAUAGGCAUAUCCAGUUUUUCCAGCACCUUUUAUCAAAGACUGUGUUCCCCAGUGUGUGUUUUUGGCACUUUUGUCAAAAGCCAGCUGGCUAUAAAUAUGUGGAUUUAUUUCAAGGUUAUCUUUUCUGUUCUGUUGUUCUGUGUCUGUUUUAUGCCAGACCAUGCUGUUUUGGUUACUAUAGCUUUUAUUUUCUUUUUUCUGACAGUCUUGCUCUAUCGCCCAGGCUGGGGUGCAGUGGUGAGAUCUCAGCUCACUGCAACUUUCACCUUCCAGGUUCAAGGGAUUCUCCUGCCUCAGCCUCCCAAGUAGCUGGGAUUACAGGUGCGCACCACCACGCCUGGCUAAUUUUUGUAUUUUCAACAGAGAUGGGGUUUUGUCAUGUUGGCCAGCCUGGUCUCGAACUCCUGGCCUCAAGUGAUCCGCUCACCUCAGCCUCCUAGAGUACUGGGAUUCCAGGCAUGAGCCACUGCACCCAGCCUACUAUAGCUUUAUCGUAUAUUUUGUUAUUUUUAUUUUAUUUUAUUUUUUUGACAUGGAGUCUCGCUCUCUUCCUCACCUGGGACUGCAGUGGUGCAAUCUUGGCUCACUGCAACCUCCGCCUCCUGGGUUCAGGCGAUUCUUCCACCUCAGCCUCCUGAGUAGCUGGGACUAAAGGCGUGUGCAACCAUGCCCAGCUAAUUUUUGUAUUUUUAGUAGAGAUGGGCUUUUGCCAUGUUGGCCACGCAGGUCUUGUAUGUUGAUUUUGUAUCCCACAAUUUAUUGAAUUUGUUUAUCAGCUCUAAGAGUUUUUCGGUGGCAUCCUUAGGUUUUUCCAAAUAUAAGAUCAUUUCCAAAUCUUAAAUGGUUGAAAAUUACAACUGUGCAAUUUCCUUAUUCCUGAUGGUUUCCCCUCUCAUUUCCAAAUGGUCUUGUAUUUGACUGGUGCAGUUUGACUUCCUCCUUUCCAAUUUGGACGCCCUUUAAUUUUUUCUCUUGCCUAAUUGCUCUAGCUAGUAUUUCCUCACAUGCUUUUGAAGCCAAGAUAUAUGACUGUAUGUUUAUCAACACUCAAGGAGAUUCAUCACUGUUGUAGAGGACAUUGAUAAGUUUCCCAAAGUGUGUUUUUCAGCAAGUCAACUGAUAGUGCCUGUAGACUGAAUAGUGUUGAUUUCCCAAGUCAUUUGCUGAUACAUUUCUGGGGAAGAGAGGCAGUUGUGAGACUGCAGGCCCUAAUGAAACGAUUUCAGUUGAAAACAGGCUGGCUCUGAACUAUUCUUUGUUAUCAUAAGAACUCACUGAAAUAUAAUGACCUACUUUGAAGUAAAGGAAGGAGCUCAUAAAGAUUUAGGUAAGAUGAAGUGACUGAGAUCAUUUUUUCAGCUCCCUCUGUCAGCAUCCUUACUUCCUUCUUCUCGUUACCCAUCAAGUCCUAAUGAAUCUACCUUCUAAAUGUUUCUCAGGGCUGAUUCUUCGUUUUCAUCCUCUAGUACUAUCUGCAUUCAGGAUCUCAUUUCAUCUCACCUGCAUCACUGUGAUAGCUUCCUUAUUGAUGCUUUUGUCUUCAUCCGGUCUCUCACCCCUUCCAAACCAUCCUCCACGUGAGCCUGGCUAUGGAAGGCUGUUCUGCCCAUCUCCAGGGAACACAGCUCUGAUGUGAAUGGCACCCCCUGGAGUUCUUUCAUUUCUUGUAUCCCAACAACUCGGGGAAUAGAAAACAUGAGUACCUGAGGCUUUUUUACAUACAUAAUCAUCCCAAGGAAUUUAUGAGUGAGAGUUUCUAAAAGCAAGCUAAUUUAAUCCUGUAGCAUGUUUGCAUUUUUGCUCAAAAGCCUUAACUCUUGUUAAAUAUAAUUCACUUUCCUGUGGCUUUAAAUGUUACCCAGCUCUGAAAUAAGGUGGCUUUUAUGAUAAGAAUUGCUUUCCUCCUGAGCUUGAAGCACAGCCAUGCGUAGAACAGUAAAACUAACUUAAAUGAGAAUGAUUACUAAAUAACUGUGGCUUCAAAGAGAAGAUAGGUAAUAAUACUUUGCAUUCAUACAAGCCUGCCUUUCAUUUGAGUAUCGCAAAGGAAAGCAAAAUGUAGCUGAUGCUGUGUUAUGGUUGAAAAUUACAACUGCGCAAUUUCUUUAUUCCUGUUUCCCCUCUCAAAUAUGAUACCGAGUUAAAGCAUCUCUAGAAUUCAAUGUGUAUUGAUUUUGAACACAGGCUUUUUCUGUCUGUUUUCUACCCCUUUAACAUCAACCACAAGUUGCAAAGGCAUCAGUGAACCACAUGCUUUUGUGGUUUUGAAGCAUUUGCUAUCACUGGAGAAAAAUAUAAUGAUAAAGGAUAGAAGAAUUUCUUACUCAGCUGUUUUAAACUUAUGGUGGAAAAAUAAAGAGAUGAAGAUAGAGACAGAAUAUUCUCUGCACCCCCAGAAUCAGUUCAUUCAUGGUGCUAACAAACACUUCAAGAAUGUGCCAGAGAACUCGCCUGAUUCACUUUACUGAAACACAAGAUUCACAAGAUGGAAUGUCAGUAUUGCAACUGUGAUGCCUUUAUAUCAUGUGAGAAGAACAAUAGAGUCCUGGGAGGCAAGUGCAGAUGACCCCAAGGUCCUUGUGGACAAGGAAGUAAAAGCUAAGAAGAAAUGGCACGUUUCUUAGGAAACAUUUCAAUAUUGUUAUUUAUACAAGGAUGCAGAGAACAGUACAGCUGGAGAAUUAAAUGGAGAGAUCAGCGCACAGAUGGGCCCCAGGUACUGAAGAUAAGAAUAUAGAGAAGUUUUUCUUCUGACAGACUUGCUGGAAGCCAGGUGGCUAUCGCUGGUAACAAUCCAGGAAGCUAACGGAUAACUUCUGUAACAACUGGACCCACACGGCCAGGACUUGAUUAAUGACUGACAUCUACCCUAAUUUUUGUGCCUACAUCCAAUUUAAGACCAAACAGAGAAAACGAAACACGCACCCCUAACCGAUCAUGCAGAAUGCCCCUACUUCUGUUUAGCCCGCCUACAGCUUCCCCAUGGCAAUAGCCUCCAAUCAGGAUACACCUGAACCCUUCCCUCCCCACCCACUGCCCUGCUAUAAAGCUUUCUCAUUUCUCUGCCUUUGAAUCACUGCCAAAACACAGCGACAGUAGCUAACUCCCUUGUUGUAUAGCAGGCUGUGAAAAAAUAGCACUUGCAUUUCUCAUUUGAUUGGUCGUCAUUUAUUUCUAUAACCAUGUGUUUCAUUCAUGCAAUUCAGAAGUUUCUUUGGAAUAACUUGCAGAGUAAACUAAAAAAUAUUUAUUUGCUAUGAUACUUUAUAUAUAUUUUCUGCUUAUUUAAGUUCCCUACUGAGGUUUUGAAAUUCUCCCUGAUGCUGGUAGUAUAAAAAUCUUAUUUGAAGCAAAUCAAUUAAUCCUGAAGAUGACUGAAAGAUCAAUAUGAGAUAGCUGCAGAUAAACCAACUAUUCUCUAAGCUCUAGGACACCUUCAAACAGCACAUUCUGCCUUUUAAUACAAGUAUUUACACACUGAUUUCAGUUGUAAAGAAAUGAGAAACUUCAAGUAUAAAAAGCUUGGGACUAUGAAAACCAAGCGUUUUGUCUAAACAUCUUUUGUUGUUGUUCUUGGUAAAAAAGAAGGCUUCGGGGCUGGUGGCACGCGCCUGUAGUCCCAGCUACUGGGGAGGCUGAGGCAAGAGAAUCGCUUGAAUCCAGG
rnacentral:lncRNA from 1 species